rnacentral:rRNA from 1 species
UACGAAGGGGGCUAGCGUUGCUCGGAAUCACUGGGCGUAAAGCGCACGUAGGCGGCUUCUUAAGUCAGGGGUGAAAUCCUGGAGCUCAACUCCAGAACUGCCUUUGAUACUGAGGAGCUUGAGUCCGGGAGAGGUGAGUGGAACUGCGAGUGUAGAGGUGAAAUUCGUAGAUAUUCGCAAGAACACCAGUGGUGAAGGCGGCUCACUGGCCCGGUACUGACGCUGAGGUGCGAAAGCGUGGGGAGCAAACAGG